UACGGGGGGAGCAAGCGUUGUUCGGAUUUACUGGGCGUAAAGGGCGCGUAGGCGGCCUGCUAAGUCGAACGUGAAAUCCCUGGGCUCAACCCAGGAACUGCGUCCGAUACUGGUUGGCUUGAAUCCGGGAGAGGGACGUGGAAUUCCAGGUGUAGCGGUGAAAUGCGUAGAUAUCUGGAGGAACACCGGUGGCGAAGGCGACGUCCUGGACCGGCAUUGACGCUGAGGCGCGAAAGCCAGGGGAGCAAACGGG
rnacentral:rRNA from 1 species